AGAUCUCGACUGCUGGAAUGCAUCGAGAUCGAAAGCUCCGGCGCCUAAGGAUGGGUCUGCGGCCUAUCAGGUAGUAGUGGGUGUAGCGUACCUACUAGCCUACGACGGGUACGGGUUGUGAGAGCAAGAGCCCGGAGAUGGAUUCUGAGACACGAAUCCAGGCCCUACGGGGUGCAGCAGGCGCGAAAACUUUACAAUGCUGGAAACAGCGAUAAGGGGACCUCGAGUGCCAGGUUACAAAUCUGGCUGUCGUGAUGCCUAAAAAGCAUUGCAUAGCAAGGGCCGGGCAAGACCAGUGCCAGCCGCCGCGGUAACACCGGCGGCUCGAGUGGUAACCGUUAUUAUUGGGUCUAAAGGGUCUGUAGCCGGCCGGAUAAGUCUCUUGGGAAAUCCAGCAGCUCAACUGUUGGGCUUUCAGGAGAUACUGUCUGGCUCGAGGCCGGGAGAGGUGAGAGGUACUUCAGGGGUAGGGGUGAAAUCUUGUAAUCCUUGAAGGACCACCAGUGGCGAAGGCGUCUCACCAGAACGGACCUGACGGCAAGGGACGAAAGCUAGGGGCACGAACCGGAUUAGAUACCCGGGUAGUCCUAGCCGUAAACGAUACUCGCUAGGUGUCGGCCACGGUGCGACCGUUGUCGGUGCCGUAGGGAAGCCGUGAAGCGAGCCACCUGGGAAGUACGGCCGCAAGGCUGAAACUUAAAGGAAUUGGCGGGGGAGCACCACAACGGGUGGAGCUUGCGGUUUAAUUGG
rnacentral:rRNA from 1 species